rnacentral:sRNA from 1 species
AAGGUUCGACUCGAGCGCCAGCGAGAGAACGUUGCCGCAGGCAACGGCCCGAAGGGCGAGGAGCGAUAGCGACGAGUUAUCCUUCCCCCUCUAUUC